rnacentral:rRNA from 1 species
GACGAACGCUGGCGGCGUGCUUAACACAUGCGAGUCGAACGAUGAAGCCGGAGCUUGCUCUGGUGAAUUAGUGGCGAACGGGUGAGUAACACGUGAGUAACCUGCCCUUGACUCUGGGAUAACUGCGGGAAACUGUAGCUAAUACCGGAUACGACCCUCGGAGGCAUCUCCUGGGGGUGGAAAGAAUUUUGGUCAAGGAUGGGCUCGCGGCCUAUCAGCUAGUUGGUGAGGUAAAGGCUCACCAAGGCGACGACGGGUAGCCGGCCUGAGAGGGUGACCGGCCACACUGGGACUGAGACACGGCCCAGACUCCUACGGGAGGCAGCAGUGGGGAAUAUUGCACAAUGGGCGCAAGCCUGAUGCAGCAACGCCGCGUGAGGGAUGACGGCCUUCGGGUUGUAAACCUCUUUUAGCAGGGAAGAAGCGAAAGUGACGGUACCUGCAGAAAAAGCACCGGCUAACUACGUGCCAGCCGCCGCUGUAA